CCGAGCUUGCCCAUACCCAUCACGACCGUGAGCGCGUCGACCCGUUCUCGGCCUCUGCCUUGUUCGUUUGCUUCGUCGUCCACAACCGCCGCUUCUCUUGUUCAAUCCAUCUACUCUUGUUCCAUCCAUUCGCGUCUGUUCUUCCGCCCUUCAAUCCGAGAUCUUUAGUGCUAAAGUUUCAUCUGAGAUCGUCACCUGAUAUCUGCUUUGGUGGUUAGCUCAGCUGUUCACAACCAUCACUUCAGCGGUGACAUUCGAGAUCUCAGCAUCUGCACUCUCCUAGUCAUCCAAUAUCCCAGAGGCCAACUUAACUUUUGCAAUAAACUUGAGUUAAUCGAAACAUCAACGUCACAAAUCACUCACAAUUCCUGCCACAAAGUUAUCUUCUACACUCGCUCCUCAGCAGCUGAAAAGUCUCCCCUCUGCUGUGCUAGUGCAUUUUCUGAGUCAGCUUGACUCAUCUAACGAGUUGUGAACAACUUACGUCCUUGUAAUUACUUCGCAGUCUUCAGUGGCUCAAGAAAGAAGCGUGAAGUUGAAGCUUUUGUCUGCGGUAAUCAGAGAAAAGCAGCGAUGGGCAACAUACAGCACACCAUCAAGAUGCCCGAGGGAGGCUGGAACGGUUCUCAGGCGCCGCUGAACGAGCGUAACUCGGGCACCUCAGGCACGUCGUUUGUGUGCCGCUACUGCCAGCGUAUCUUCCGCAAGCCCUACAACCUCUUAAUACACGAACGUGCGCAUGCAGAGAGAACCAAGUGUCACUACGACGUGUUCAGGGUGCGCUCCAGUCUCCAGGUGGCGAAUUAACGUCACCCCGACGUGUUCUGACAGGUAUGCGGGAUGUCGUGAAGAGCUGCAUGGCUGUCCUCUCAGCUACGAUGGAGGUCCACAACUGGCGACGAAUGGAUUCUUUUGACAAUAUUACUGUGGGAUUUGUUUCGUGUUUUUAAUUGUAGUUGUACUUUAAGAAUUUAAUACUUGCAUGAGAAGUAACUUCGGCUCUGAAUCUUACAACAAUCUUUUUUGAUUAAUGAAGAAAAUAUGAGGAAUGUUUGCGACAUUGACAACUACAAAUUUAAAAAAGUCGAAAACGCGGACAAUUUGCCUUAUUCCUUUGAUUAAUUAAAUAAAAGUUUUCGUAUUUCUUUGCUUUCGAGUGUGAGUUAAUAUAUUAUAAAGCAUUAACAUGCACUCUCAUCGCUAUUAACAGUCUUUGCAUCUCGUUUGAAUCGGCGUGCUUGAAUAUAAUGUAGAAAAACUAGCAUAAAUUUUCCAUCAAGCAACAUUUGCAGGAAAAUUUUUCUUACAUUUCAGAGCUUUUCGUAAAAAAUGGAAUUCACUAUUUAAUUCGUGAAAAGAAGUUACAUCAUCAUGAAAGUUGUCUAUUUUCUGCAAGAACGGUUAAGUAUAUAAUAACAGAUAUUAUUAGAGGUUAUUAAAGUUUUUAUGUUAAUAGUGAAAUUCAUUGAUGCCAUGAAACUUAUGUGAUUAAACUACUUGUUAACUAAAUUGACUACUUCAAUUAUCUAGGCUACUUUGUGAUAAAUAGUAUAUGCGAAUUGAAUGCUUAUGUACACUAAUUUCCCAUGCUUUACUGUUUAAUCAUGCUUAAAUCUUUAUAGCAAUUUUUUCCCGUAUUCCGUAUAUUAUAAAUCGAAAUCUCUGACGCUAAACUUUCUCGAGUGAUCCGAUAACCUAAACAACAAAUUGUGAUCCGAUAAUAACUAAUCUGGUAGCUUAAGCUCAAGCAUCAGCUGUACAUUAAUUUAAUUAACAACAUAAUACAUUUUAUGCACAUAAUUUCUAAGCAAAUUUUGUCAAAGUUCAGUCACUUUUACUUGUUUAAUCGAUCGAAUUAGUUAUCAGAAAGUGAGUUGAAUUAAUACAAGGAAAUGUCGAGCCUCGGGAACGCUGUGUCAAAUGUUUGAAUUUUGACCAUUUGCCCACGCCUUGCCGCUUACAGUCUAUCGAUGGAGUAGAUUAGAUCAGUUCUUUUUUCAUUAUUAUUGGCAUUCAAACUUAUUUUGCCUUGAAAAUUCAGGCGGACAGCUGAGGUUUGAUAAGAAAUAUCCAAAAGAGGAAACUCGUUGAUUGGUGAUGAGUAUGCCAGUCAUAAAUAUAAUGGCUUGAAUAAUAAGGUAUCAGGCGUAAGGUAUCAUUUGUAUAUAUUAUUUAUAUGAUUUUGACUUGAAUUGCUUGUUGCUUGAUUGUGUUCUCAUGUCAAUGUUGGGCCAGAUUCGUGUCAAGUUGGGUCAAUGCGAUGCUAUCAGGUUAUAGUCUUUAAUUGCUUUAUUGUCGGAGGCAUAAUGAUUUCUCUCAUUAAUUUCAAUUUCACGUAAAGUUCGCUGUAGAAAGCUGAAUUUAUGCUGAAAUUUUCAACUUAUUCGAGCAAUAUAAAUGAAGUGGAAUUAUUGGGAGCGUGCUGCUGCGUAAUACAUGUUUCGAGGACGCUGAAUGAAUGUUUCGGGGUAGCUUGCUCCAGCUUUUUCCAUUAUAAAUCAAGUCAUCGGUAAAUUUUGAGCUCCUUGAGUGUGGUUAGGGAAUGCAACAAGUCUAUAAGUGCAUUGUAUUUGUAAUAUUAAUCUUUAAAUAUCGUGGGAUUUUGGGCAAAAACGGAAAAUUUUCUCCUCCUGCCAUUAUAUUGCCUACCAGGUUUGAAGUUGUUCACAAAAUAUUUAACGACCUUGCACGUAAUCACGCGCGUGAGUAAACAAACUUCAAUUUUAAUCUUCCAUCGAUAACAUCCCGAAUUUGUAGGCCAGCAGCCAUCUUCCUAUAUUGACUUUUAUAAGAUUGAAUGGUUUUGGCACGAGGGCAGACGAUGGAUAGUUAUUGUUCAGCACCUUUUCUCUGCUAUAACAACUAGUAGUUAAUUUUCAGUGUGAACCGUCUUAUAGCAUGUGACAUGUAAUCUCUUUGAAAUUUACAAAUGUGCGCAACAAAAUUUAGUCUGUUAAGUCAGCUCUUAGUCCGCGACCGCCGUGGCUCUCGAGUAUCGAGGAGCGCAAGGAGACUGCGACGCUCCACAAGUAGUGAUCCGCCUCAUCUCUGGAUGCUCAGCAAUACCGUUCUUCAGUUACCCAUUCAUUAUUUACGAGUACAAUAGCAUAUGCUUAUUAAAAACCGAAAAUUAAAUGAGGAUUAAAGAUAUAUUAAACUGCUGUGAAAUUCAUCAGAAUGCAGGAGUUAGCAUCUGGUAUUUUUUCUAUCAUGUGCGACCUUCUGAAACAGUAUAAGUAUGUUUUUAAUGAUCGAUCGUUGGCCGUCAGUGGUCAAAUAUGACACAGUGGAUGUUGUGAUCGGUGCUGCGUGUAAUAGUGCAAUCAGGCGUCAGCAUUCGUCAGCAUGCGAGCAGAUUAGUAGUGAACCGCCAUGCUUUUAUAUUUAGUUUGUAUUUAAGAGUUUAUUGCAAGAAAAUAAAUGUCGUUUUUUAGCAUCCA